AGAGUUUGAUCCUGGCUCAGGACGAACGCUGGCGGCAGGCCUAACACAUGCAAGUCGAACGAUAAGCCAGAGCUUGCUCUGGUGGACAGUGGCAGACGGGUGAGUAACGCGUGGGAAUAUACCCAGUAGUACGGAAUAGCCUUUGGAAACGGAGAGUAAUACCGUAUACGCCCUUCUUUAGAAAUAUUGGGGGGGAAAGAUUUAUCGCUAUUGGAGUAGCCCGCGUUAGAUUAGAUAGUUGGUGGGGUAAUGGCCUACCAAGUCGACGAUCUAUAGCUGGUUUGAGAGGAUGAUCAGCCACACUGGGACUGAGACACGGCCCAGACUCCUACGGGAGGCUGCAGUGAGGAAUAUUGGACAAUGGGGGAAACCCUGAUCCAGCCAUGCCGCGUGAAUGAAGAAGGCCUUAGGGUUGUAAAGUUCUUUCGUCGGUGAAGAUAAUGACGGUAGCCGAAGAAGAAGCCCCGGCUAACUCCGUGCCAGCAGCCGCGGUAAUACGGAGGGGGCAAGCGUUGUUCGGAAUUACUGGGCGUAAAGAGUACGUAGGCGGAUCGUUCAGUUAGGGGUGAAAUCCCAGGGCUCAACCCUGGAACUGCCCUUAAUACUGGCGGUCUAGAGAUCGAGAGAGGUGAGUGGAAUUUCCAGUGUAGAGGUGAAAUUCGUAGAUAUUGGAAAGAACACCAGUGGCGAAGGCGGCUC
rnacentral:rRNA from 1 species